GUACCUGUGGUUUUCAGACAAGCCAAAUUUGGCAGGAUAACCGCGAACCUGGCAACUCUGGGGAAAAGCGUUCUGUGAUUGGACUGCAAGAGCAGAAGAUUUAGACAAACAAGUAUCAGCAGUUACAGCGCGAUAGGGCGGGACUAUGCUUUGGAUGAUGUUCGGAGAAAAGACGCUAAAAUUGGCUCUCAGAUUGAAUGAACUGAAUGAAAUAUACAGGUUAUGGUUUGCGCUCGUUGCUUGGACGGAGGGACCAAUGCAGUGAGCACUGUGUCAACCAGCUGGAUAACUGACUCUGACCCAACAGAAACCUCCCCGCAGUCCUUCUAAAGUUAUCUGGCAAGGUGAAACUGGGGAAGGAAGGCACCAUCACUGUCUUAGCCCAUUGUUGGAAGACUGCAAAAGCACAAGCUACAGCCAGUGGGACGGCACGAGUGCUACUGAUGGAACUCUUUAAUGUUGAUGUUUUUCUGAACUUUAAGCAUACCUUUAUCUGUUUUUGUAUUAUACAUAUGGUAGUAUAUGGUAGUAUAUAUUCUUGAAUUUAUAGUGAAGUGUAUUGUUAAAUAUAUAAUAAAAUAAAUUGUGAUAUGUGUGGUAAUAGAUGGUAUGUGUAUUAUUGAUAGUAAUAUAUUAAAAUAUAUUCUUGAA